rnacentral:rRNA from 1 species
GGCUUGGUAAUUGGAAUGAGGGAGAGUUAAACGGACCAUCGAGUAUCCAUUGGAGGGCAAGUCUGGUGCCAGCAGCUGCGGUAAUACCAGCUCCAAUAGCGUAUAUUAAAGUUGUUGCAGUUAAAAAGCUCGUAGUUGGACUUGUGUGCGCUGUCCGCGGGUGGCCUGCGCCCAAAAGGGCGUUUCGGUUCGGCCCCGGUGGCGCCUUGAAAUCUGCAGCUGGGGGGACGUUGGCCUUAACUGGUCGGCGACCGCACGCCGGCUGCUCGGUUACUGUGAGAAAAUUAGAGUGUUCAAGGCAGGCAUUGGGUGCAAUUGAAUACAUUAGCAUGGAAUAAUAAAAUAUGGCUCCUGCCGUAUUUUGUUGGUUUUGACUGGUGGGAGUAAUGAUUGAUAGGGACGGUUGGGGGUGCUAGUAUUGAGCGGCCAGAGGUGAAAUUCAUGGAUUCGCUCAAGACUAACUUAUGCGAAAGCAUUCACCAAGGACGUCCUCUUUAAUCAAGAACGAAAGUUGGGGGAUCGAAGACGAUCAGAUACCGUCGUAGUCUCAACCAUAAACUAUGUCGACUUGGGAUCGGCGGUAGUUUUUUCAUUAAGACACUGUCGGGACCACGGGAGAAAUCAAAGUGUCUGGACUCUGGGGGAAGUAUGGUCGCAAGGCUGAAACUUGAAGGAAUUGACGGAAGGGCACCACCAGGAGUGGAGCCUGCGGCUUAAUUUGACCCAACACGGGGAAACUUACCAGGUCCAGAGAUGUAGAGGAUUGACAGAUUGAAGCUCUUUCUUGAUCACUUCGGUGGUGGUGCAUGGCCGUUCUUAGUUGGUGUAGUGAUUUGUCUGGUUAAUUCCGUUAACGAACGAGACCUCAGCCUGCUAGUGUAGUCGGCUGGAUUGCCUUUGGCGAUCCGUGAUUUCGACUUCUUAGAGGGACAAUCGACGCGCAGUCGAUGGAAGUUUGAGGCAAUAACAGGUCUGUGAUGCCCUUAGAUGUUCUGGGCCGCACGCGCGCUACACUGCUGGGCUCAGCGAGUUUUACUUGGCCGAGAGGCCCGGUUAAUCUUGUGAAAUCCCAGCGUGCUUGGGCUCGCCUCCUGCAACUGGAGGCGCCAACGAGGAAUUCCUAGUAGACGCAGGUCAUCAACCUGCAUCGAUUACGUCCCUGCCCUUUGUACACACCGCCCGUCGUUCCAUAAGAGUGAGGCAUCCGGUGAAUUCUCGGGAGAGCCUGGGCGUGGCCAGCAAUGGUCUGCUCGGGUUUGAACUUGCAUAAACUUGGUGCCUAUGAUUAGGG